CACACUCACUGCUGUGUCCCUUGCACACUCACACAGGUGUGUCACAGGUGUGUCACACCCUCACACUCUCCCUUGCACACUCAGGUGUGUCACACACUCACACAGGUGUCCCUUGCACACUCACACUCUCCCUUGCACACUCACACUCUCCCUUGCACACUCACACAGGUGUGUCACACCCUCACACAGGUGUCCCUUGCACACUCACAGGUGUGUCACAGGAGUGUCACACCCUCACACUCUCCCUUGCACACUCACAGGUGUGUCACACACUCACACAGGUGUCCCUUGCACACUCACGCUCUCCCUCGCACACUCGCCCCCCCUCGAGUGCCACACGCCCAUCCCCCACCCCUCGCACACUCACCGCUCGCCCCUCCCCCCCUUGCACACUCACACGAGCGUGCCCCUCCC